rnacentral:rRNA from 1 species
ACGUAGGGGGCUAGCGUUGUCCGGAAUCAUUGGGCGUAAAGAGCGUGUAGGCGGUCCGGUAAGUCCGCUGUGAAAGACGGGGGCUCAACCCUCGAAUGCCGGUGGAUACUGUCGGGCUAGAGUGCGGAAGAGGCGAGUGGAAUUCCUGGUGUAGCGGUGAAAUGCGUAGAGAUCCGGAGGAACACCGACGGCGAAGGCAGCGUCCUGGCCGCCCGCUGACGCUCAGGCACGAAAGCCGGGGGAGCGAACAGGA